CACGAUAGGCGACGCCGGACGCAGCUUCCUCUUCUUUUCUUCGCGUCGCCCUCCAACCCCACCCACCGCCGCCGCCACCCAGCACCACAAACCCGCACGAUCCCUCUCCGCGUCCUUGGUCGCCGACUUCCGAUAAGCUUCGACGCCGCGCACGCACGAGCUAGCGCAAAGCUCCAGCAUAUCAUCCCCAAUUUCGGAAGUCCGAUCCCCGGUUCGAUCCAGAACACCCUUUUUUUCUAGGGUUUGGUUUUGGCCGUGGAUCUAGGGUUUGGUGAGCCAAUUUUCCCUCGAUUCCCUUCGAUUGCUGGGAUUUGUUGUGCCUGCGCAUCAUGGCCGCGGGGCGCCACGGAGGAUACAGUGGUUACGAGGUGUCGAAGGAGCGGGAGUUCGAUCCGGAGGCUUCUAGAAGGGGCAAGGAUUACCAUCACCGCAACCCUAGCCGCCACCGCGACUCAGAUCGUCGUCGUGAUGGCGGCCGGAGCAGGGACCGGGAGACGUCAAAUGGGCACACCCGCCACCGGUCGCCACAUCUGCCACCGAAGAGCCGACCGUCAGGGAGGAGGGAGGAGAGGGAGCCCGGCGAGGUUUCAAGCGGAAGUGGCUCGGAAGAGUCUCGUGGGCGGCCGCUCAAGGCAAGGGAACCUGGUGUGAAUGGUGUUGUUGGGGUCAGCAGGGAGGGCGGGGUGCCGUCCCCAAGUAAGAAGCGAAAAUACUCGCCGGUUAUUUUGGAUAGGAAUGCUUCAAAGCCUCGCGUCCAAGAUGUUGGCAACCCGAGCAUGAAAGAGGUAGGCACUGUGGUUGCCAACCUCCCAGAUGUUGGCAACCUGAGCAGCAUUGAUUUGGAUGCGUCGGUUGAUGUACAAAAUGUUGAAAGAUUACAGGAGCACGACAAUGAUAGGGUUAUUAUGGAGGAGGAUGAGGAGGAGGAUGCUUAUCCAACAAUGAUAAACAUUAGGACUUCACGAUGGGCAGAUGCUGAUGACAAGGAAGAAAUUGCGUCAAAGAAGAAAAGCGUGUCACCAGAACAAGGGUCCGUGAAAAAGGUUACAAGCCCAGAGCUUGGAAAGUUGAUGGUGGAUAAAGACUCAAACUCCUCAGUGUCUUCUGACUCUGGCGUAGUACAGUUUAGUGCAAACAGGGAUCUUGAAGUAGAUAAGGGUGACUACAUGGAUAUCGAGAAGGAUGCUGGGGAUGAUUCUUCUGCUCUUUGUGGGAUGCGCACUGAUUCUGAGAGUCAUCGGUGUAGCUCUAGAACCCCAGAGCCCGCAGGGUCGCCGCAUAGGUGCAUUAACAUGCUUCAGGGUUGUAGGGGUGUUGACGAGUUUGAGAGGCUCAACACAAUUAAUGAGGGUACAUACGGUAUUGUAUCUAGGGCAAAGGAUAAGAAAACUGGUGAGAUUGUUGCAUUGAAGAAGGUAAAGAUGGAGAAUGAACGGGAAGGUUUCCCACUGACUUCUCUCAGGGAAAUAAAUAUCCUGCUAUCGUUCCAUCACCCUUCGAUUGUGGAUGUCAAGGAAAUAGUCGUUGGGAGUGGUGACAGCACCUAUAUGGUGAUGGAGUACAUGGAGCACGAUCUCAAGGCUGUCAUGGAGACCAUGAAACAACCAUAUAGUCAAAGCGAGGUCAAAUGUUUGAUGCUUCAGCUGCUAGAAGGUGUGAAGUAUCUUCAUGACAAUUGGGUGAUUCACAGGGAUCUCAAGACGUCUAAUAUUCUCUUGAAUAACCGCGGUGACUUGAAAAUAUGUGAUUUUGGGCUCUCUCGUCAAUAUGGCAGCCCACUAAAGCCUUACACUCAAUUGGUUGUGACUUUGUGGUACAGGGCUCCAGAACUACUGUUAGGUGCAAAGGAAUAUUCCACUGCUAUUGAUAUGUGGUCGUUGGGUUGUAUUAUGGCAGAACUCCUUUCAAAAAAGCCACUGUUUGAUGGGAAACGUGACAUCGACCAACUUAGUAAGAUAUUUAGAAUGCUUGGUACACCUAACGAGGACAUAUGGCCUGGUUAUUCUAAAUUACCGGGCGCCAGGGCCAAAUUUGCCAAACAACCGUACAAUAGAUUAAGGGAAAAGUUUCCAGCUGUAUCUUUCACUUGUGGGCUGACCCUGUCAGAGGCUGGAUUUGACCUGCUAAACAGAAUGCUGACGUAUGACCCUGAAACGCGCAUAUCAGCAGAGGAUGCGUUGAACCAUGAAUGGUUCUGUGAAGUACCAUUGCCUCAGUCAAGGGAUUCUAUGCCAACAUUUCAUUCCCUUAAUGAACAAGACAGGCGCAUGAUGAAACGUAUGAAGAGCCCUGAUCCUCUGGAGGAGCAACGAAUGAAAGAACUGGGGAGCAUACACGACCGUGGAAUUUUUGGCUGAGCCCUGAUCUUUUGGUUUGCUGCAGAUGCCAAUUUUCAACAUGAACCUCUGGAAGUGCACGUGUUCCAAGGUCAGACGUCCACUGGAUAUAUGAAGUACAUCGUCUUCUUGGUGUCUGGCGAGUGGCGACAGUUGGUGGCCUUCUUUAGCAGGCAUGGAUGCAUAAUCAGAAGGGGAUAAGAUUUCUCCUUAUAUUCCGUGCUAGGCACUAUUUCAUUUACAGGGUUAGCUCUUCCCCAACUUCUGGUCACAAUGAACUCUUACUUUACUUUUGGUCACAAUCUAAUCCACUGUGCAUUGUAAGGUGUGCAAAUAUCUCAUACAGCUACAUCGUAUGGUCUGGCCUAUUCACAGCUAUUGGGUACACCAGUUUCACAUACCGAUCUUCUAGAUGAAUGAAGCGAAGAAGGGGAGUACCUUUUGCUUUUUCGCGAGGAAACUGAUGCAUAGUAAUGCAAAUUGUAAGGUAAUAUGCUGAGGAAUUAGUUUCCCACUGAUGUGUUAUCGUGCUAUAUAAAUGCGACAUAUUUACCAUUUUUUAUCUCUGUGUUUGUGGAUGUUCUGUGUGAAUGGUCUUGUAAGCUCAGGUGAGCUUUGGCGUUGUUUGGAAAUAUCUAAAAUUGUACUCCCUCUGUAAACUAAUAUAAGAGCGUUUAGAUCACUAUUUUAGUAUUCUAAACGCUCUUAUAUUAGUUUACGAAGGGAGUACAUACAUAUUUUAUGGCUUAUUCUGCUUGAUAUGUUCAUGUUUUCUGUUAAUGUACUAUGUGAAAUUCUAACUUACAUAAUGAAUGCAAACUAAAAAGGAGAAAUUAAUACUUAUGAACUUCUUUUGUGCAGUCAAUGCAACUUUCGUCGUAAGAGCACAACUAAUGUCGUCUUAAAAACACAACUAAUUUUAUAUUGCGAAAUGGAGACCUUCAUUUCUGUUAUUGUUUGCUGUCCUGAAAACAGGAAUUUGAGAGCAAAGGUUGGAAAUUGACUUCCCAUGACCUUUGUUCUCCCAAAUCUAGACGCUAUUUUGUUCUGCUUUUAUUAUUUUCAGGAUUUUGUUCUUGUUUCGCCUAUCUUGCCUGAUGGAUAAAAAGCCUUUCUUGCAUUGUUGAAUGAUACUAUGUUUUUCACCUAGGCUUUCAUUUUGUGUUGAUUACGUUCUGGGAAUCGACACGUUCUACAAAAUGUAAAUGAUUUUCAACAACCGACCUAAAUUUGUGAAAAAACAUCAGUGGCCAAUUUUUUAGAAGUUUGACUAAAAUGCUAUCCUUUUGUGAACUGGAUGGAGCACUAUUUAGUGAAAUUUGUAAAAUGUUUUUGGUUCUUAGGUACUGGUUUGCCCUUCAUGAAAAGUUUAUGCACUCUUACUCAUAUGCCAUUCUUUUAAGUAUUAUUAUUUAUAAGCCAUAGUUUCUAACCCUCUCCCUUAAAUACCCAGCAAUCUGUUAGGACCACCCUUGUAUAUAAAAGGGUUAUCCCUCACAAAUUCCUUGAUGGCAUGCAAGCAAUAAGGCUGAAAACAAUGACAUGCAAGGGAUUGGUUUUAAGAGUAGCAUAUACGGGAGUUCCUUAUAUGAUAAUAUACUUGCAUGCACUUCAGUAUCAUCCGUUUAAUGAGGUAGUCAGUUUUCAUUGUUUCAGUUUCAAGUCAUUUGCUAUGUGCAGGACAUCUGAUGAUAGAAAAGCUAGUCUGAUUGGUGUCCAUGAUUGAAUGCUUGUUUGUACAUAGCAUAUCUUCCUGUGAAAUCAGUUAAUCCAGUUCUCUUACUCAAUUUUAACUUUGAACUAUGAAUUACUUGUAUUGUGUAAGCUGCUUGGAGAGUUGAUUGAACUCACUUAAGUGUUCUGUGACCCGUCUGCAGCUUAAGCUGUGGCUUUCAAGACAGGAAGCUCGAGUGCUGUCAGCUUACCUUGCUUAAUUGACUUUCUUUGUGGAAGGUAUCCAAGCUCUGUUACUCUUGUCAAUCUUAGUUGGUCACUAUACUAUCCUAUCUUGUUAUGUUUUCUUGCUAGUAGUUUUCUUUGGUAACUGAUUACCAUUUCCUUGGUUGACAAAUAUAUUAUUUUUAAAUAUGUUCAGAGUUCAGGCGAUCUCAUCUUUAACUUAAUAUUGCUACAUGAUCCCUUGAAGAGUUGCCUGUUCUCUGGUUCUAUAUUUCCGAAGAUGCACGCCAUUGUCAUGAAAUGCUGCACUUUAUAAUUUGAUAAAAAAUUGUGGAUUCCGUAUGCUUUGCUUACUACAGGAAAACUGACAGGUGCUGGUAGAAACAAGACUAGUUUUCAUUUAAAUAAAUCAUGUUUAGUUUCCUUAAUGUUGUGAUAAUUUACCUACGGAUGCCUUGUAGUUAUCAGUUCAUUUUUAUUUAAUCCCUGUCAACCAUGUGCCCCCACCCACCAGUGGACAUGAUGAUUCUUUGUUGAACAUUUGUUGGAUAAUUCCAGUAGUUAGUUAUUUGCAGCGACCUAUUAAUUGCUCUCUCUCAAGUACUCCCUCCGUUCCAGAAUAUAAGGUGUAUUGUUUUCCAUGCAAGUCAACCAUCUGAAUGUUUGACCAAGAUUAUAGAAUAAAAUAACAACACAUGCAAUACCUAAUAGAUAAAAUAUGAAACUACUUUUCAUGAUGAAUCAAAUGAUAUAAAUUUUGUAUUGCGAAUAUUCAUAUAUUUUUCUAAAAACUCAGUCAAACAUGCACUCGUUUGACUUUUGGAAAAAACAGAUACACCUUAUAUAAAGGAAUGGAGGGAGUAGAUAGUACCACCGGUGGAGAAGAGAGCCCUGUUUUUUUAUAGAUAUGGCUCUUUUGUACUGAAUUCCUUGCCCCACUUCUGAAUGCAAUGCUUAUCAGUACUAAAAAAACCAGAACACAGACCCGUACAUUUUGUUCUUUUGGCGAGGGGUAUUCUGUUGUUGUGGUAUUUGGAUUAUGUAUACACAGUUUAGACAUCUCUUCAAAUUGCUACAAAUCGGUAACUUAUGUAGUGGUCAGAACUAACCUAGAUAAGGGCGGAGUGAAACAAGUUUUAAGUGCAAAUGAAGUGCUGGCUCUUGCCACUGUUGCGCCUAAUCGGGCUGCUUGUUAGCUAUUUCUGUCUUUGCUGCUUGCGACUUGGGCGGCAUGCUGGCUUGUGCCGGUACAGACGGAGAAAGAAAUAGGAGUGAGAUUCAGCCAAGUGGGAUGUUGAUAUGAUGUUUAUGUUCGCAUCGAGACAGCUCUCUCUCAAGUAAAUGGUACCAAUGGUGGAGAAGAGAGCCCUGUUUUUAUAGAUAUGACCUUUUGCAUUGAAAUUCCUUGCCCCACUUCUGAAUGAAAUGCUUAUCAGUAUUAAGCAAAAUCAGAACACAGAUCCAUUUAUUUUGUUCUUUCAUCGAGUGGUAUUUAUAGAGUUCAGAUCUGUCGAAAUUUCUACAAAGAUGGUAACUUAUGUAGUGGCUCUUGCCACCGCUGCGCCUCAUUGGGUGCAGCUCGUUAGCUAUUUCUGUCUUUGCUGCCAGCGACUUGGGCGGCCUGCUGACUUGUGCAGGUACCGAAAGGGAAAAGGGAAUAUGAGUGAGAUUCAGGCAAGUGAGAUGUUGAUGCGAUGCUUGUGUUUGCAUCGAGACAGAAACAAAGAAGCUCUAUUGUGAGUGCUGGACCGAACUGUUUAUGGGUUCUGACUUGCAUAUCCUUCAUGAAUUCCUAGAAGAAAUCAUGUACCAAUCUAUUAUUUUCUAUCCUUGUUUUCUACUCCCUCUGUUACAAAAUAAGUGUCGUGGAUUUAGUUCAAAUUUGAACCAUGUCAGUUAUUUUGGAACAGAGUAUUUGUAUAAGUUGAUUGUAUUGUGUUAGUUUAGAUAGAAGACUGUUAAGUCGUGUUCAUAGUGGGCCAUCUAAAAGUUGAUGGUCUUAAACUUCUUUAGUGGCACUUCAUCUUUAGUUAUCAGUUACAGUGUGGUAAAUAUUUUACUGGACAGUUCAUUGAAAUAUCUUUUCUUAUUCCGUGAAUGCAAGAUCAUUGUCAAAGGCAUGCCUGUAUUCCGUGAAUGCAAGAUCAUUCUCAAAGGCAUGCCGGUUUCCAGCGCAUCCUCUUGGUCAGUUGUUGCAGACGAAAUGCCUGCAGCAGAGCAUUCUACUAUGAACCUUAUUGACCUUUUCAGAACAAAUUAGCACAUACAUUUUGAAUAGAAAUGCUAUCUAACAUCGUUAACCAUUUCUCUCUUUUGCUGUCGUUUAAGUCAAGGGUCAAUUCUGCUGUAGCCUGAGUUUUUGAAUGAAAGUGCUGAAAUUUUGAUCAAAUAAGUUUGGCUUGGAAGCCUUGUAAAGCAUGGGAAGGUCUGGUUCAGUAUCUGAUAAUCUGCUCAGCUAGACACUUAAAUAUGUACUAUCGAAACUGCCUCCUUUCACGCGAACAUUUCAAAUAGAAAUGCUAUCCAGCUUCGAUAGGCAUUUCUCUAUUUUUGUUGUCGUUAGGUUCAAGGAUCAAUUGUGCUGUAGCCAGAGUUUUUAAAUGAAGUGUUUAAAGGUUUUGAUCAAAGUUUGGCUUGGAAGCCUUUUAAAGCAUCGCUAAGGUCAGGUCCAGUAUUUGAUAAUCUUGGACUAUCGAGAACUGCCUCCAUUCAUGAUGUAUGUGCAUUUGAUUUUGACAGUAAAUAUCUUGAUUCCUACUCAAUAAUUCAAGAUAUCACCUGAGCCUGCCCCCGAUGCAAUUUUUAUUGCAUGUUUUGCAGGUUCACGUUUGGGAAUCAGAGUGUAUUAAUCAUUAUUCUGUGUGGAUUAUGGUUUGUUAGCAGUGUUAACAUAUGAUCAUGAAUAGUAAGGUGGAGAAGUGCUCUUUUAUUACUAGCUUUUAUUGUAUUUUUGGUUGCACCACCUGUGCAUCUGCCAGAUUGUCUCCAACUGGAUUUGCCUGUCCUAACCCAUCGUACACUAAUGUCUGCAUAUGAAGGAUAAAAUCACCUCGGUAACUAAAUAUGAGACUUCUUUUUAGUUCAAUUUGAACUGCAAAAACGUCUUAUGUUUAGUUGCAGAGGUAGCAUUAACUUGUACUCCAGUUUAUUUUAUGUAUAUGCCCUUCCUAACCCUGUGCACAGCAACAAUGGAGUUUUUUUUUUUUUUUUGAACACUGGAAAUACUAUUGAUCAACAACAACGUACAUAUACAAGUGUGCACUGGAGUACUUCAGUGAGCUUCGCUACAUCUGCAUUAAGGCAAGAUAUGUUGCCUGCACAUAAACACAUAAACCUGAAAGGAGAAUUCUGGAUUUUGAGUGCUAGCCUAGCUUGAUGAUGUGCUCGAAAAUUAUAGCUCCUGUUGACAUGGUAGAUCCUGGUAGCAUCAAAAGUCGGAGAGGUUGUAAUGUAAGCAAGUUGAGGCCUAAGUUGUCGCCAGAGUCGCGUUGUCCGUCAGAAAAGUAACCUGUUGAAGCUGAAGCAAUUCUGCUAUCUUGGAUGCAAAGAAGCUUCUGCGGUCUCUCUGGCUUCUGACCAUUUGUGUUCUAUCAGACAAAAAAACCCUAAAGUGUUGCAAGAGUGCCUGCUGAUGUAUUGUUUCUUUUACCUCUUAGGGUUAUGGCUGUAUCUAUCUAAAUUUGGUAAGUGAUGUGGUGUCAAGAUGAGUACAGCUUGUUUUCUUUUUCCUGUAACGUGGUAACAAUGAAUAGUUCCUGACAGUUUUGCUGUCUGAGAUUUCGGAUAAUGUGCAGCUGAUUCACCUGAAAA